UACAGAGGUCUCAAGCGUUGUUCGGAUUCAUUGGGCGUAAAGGGUGCGUAGGUGGUGGCGCAAGUCUGGUGUGAAAUCUCGGAGCUCAACUCCGAAAUUGCAUCGGAUACUGCGUGACUCGAGGACUGUAGAGGAGAUCGGAAUUCACGGUGUAGCAGUGAAAUGCGUAGAUAUCGUGAGGAAGACCAGUUGCGAAGGCGGAUCUCUGGGCAGUUCCUGACACUGAGGCACGAAGGCCAGGGGAGCAAACGGG
rnacentral:rRNA from 1 species